rnacentral:misc_RNA from 1 species
GUGAAUCAUCGAAUUUUUGAACGCAAGUUGCACUCUCCUCGGAGAGUAUGCCUGUUUGAGGGUCAGCCUAUAAAAAAUCGACAUCGUUGCUGUUUCGCGGUGGCGUUCGUCGGAAAUUGGGUUAUUUUUAAUCCUUUUGGUUUUUAAGCGACUUAAAAUUUUCUUUUUGGUUCCAUGAACGUUUCUAAGAUUUAUUUUUUUACACGUUUAAGGUAUCGUUUUUUAUUAGACGUGACAAUCCUAUCGGAUUCCGUCCAUAUUC